UCGAGCGCGGGAAGCAGGCAGAUCCUCUUCGGAGGUGACGCUUGUGGAACGAGCGGCGGACGGGUGAGUAACACGUGGGCAACCUGCCUGUAAGAUUGGGAUAACCCCGGGAAACCGGGGCUAAUACCGGAUAAUACUUUUCGUUGCAUAACGAGAAGUUGAAAGGCGGCUUUUAGCUGUCACUUACAGAUGGGCCCGCGGCGCAUUAGCUAGUUGGUAAGGUAACGGCUUACCAAGGCGACGAUGCGUAGCCGACCUGAGAGGGUGAUCGGCCACACUGGGACUGAGACACGGCCCAGACUCCUACGGGAGGCAGCAGUAGGGAAUCUUCCGCAAUGGACGAAAGUCUGACGGAGCAACGCCGCGUGAGUGAUGAAGGUUUUCGGAUCGUAAAACUCUGUUGUCAGGGAAGAACAAGUGCCGUUCAAAUAGGGCGGCACCUUGACGGUACCUGACCAGAAAGCCCCGGCUAACUACGUGCCAGCAGCCGCGGUAAUACGUAGGGGGCAAGCGUUGUCCGGAAUUAUUGGGCGUAAAGCGCGCGCAGGCGGUCCUUUAAGUCUGAUGUGAAAGCCCACGGCUUAACCGUGGAGGGCCAUUGGAAACUGGAGGACUUGAGUACAGAAGAGGAGAGUGGAAUUCCACGUGUAGCGGUGAAAUGCGUAGAGAUGUGGAGGAACACCAGUGGCGAAGGCGACUCUCUGGUCUGUAACUGACGCUGAGGUGCGAAAGCGUGGGGAGCGAACAGGAUUAGAUACCCUGGUAGUCCACGCCGU
rnacentral:rRNA from 1 species